CUCUUCUCUCCUUCUUCUCCCAAAGUUGGUUUUUACGUGAAACUGGUUUUCUGACAUCCAUCCUUUUCUUAACUUCCCAUUAAUUGUAACUCCCUACUAUUUUCAUUUAACUCCCCAUAAUUUCUAUUAACUCCUAUUAAUACCCCCAAACACCAAAAUAAUUAAUAUUUCAUACUUAUUCUAAUUAUUAUUAAAUAAACCAUAUAAUAAAAUAAUACACCACAUAAAUCAUCCAAAAUCACACACACACACACACACACAUAUAUAUAUAUAUAUAUAUAUAUAUAAAUAUAUGCAUAUACUCCACAUAAAUUAAAAUAAUUAACUAUAACAACUAGGGCGUUACACUUUGUGUUUUCAAUUGAUAGUGUGAUAUUAUUGUUUAUAUAGGUUUGGUUUGGAAUUGUCUAAAAGUUUUUGUAAGUUUGAUUGUAUAUAAGAUUUGUAUCGUGAAUCUUUCAAUUUUAGAUUAUAUCUCAUUGCACAUAGAUUUAUCUUUUUGUAUAUUGUUGUGAUUGAUCGCGCAUGAUUUCAAUAGUGAUUGUUCACGUCAGUGGUAUUAUUUUAGAGGUAUAAGACGAGAAUUUCUAUAUCUUAUUCAAAGAAAUUUUUUCUUAUUGUAAUUUUAACGUACCCAAUGCCAAGUUUAACACACCAUGCUAGAUAUUCUAGGUAAUUUCUAGUAGGGGUGUUUCAUUUUACACCAUCAGUGGCAUACAUCCUCAUUUGCAAAAGCCUUAAGUAAAUCACCUCAAAAUGUACAAAGAGAUAGCGUAGUCUAAUCAAUAGAAAUUAAAAUCUCAAUAGAAUUAUUCAAAUUUAAUCAAAUUCAUUGACAUUUAUACGUAAAUUAUUUGAGUUUAUUCUGAUUCAUUUUUAAAGGCAUUCAAAACUAUUUUGUUUAAUUAUGAUUUAUAAUCCGCAUACAAAUGGAAAAGUCUUCGAAAUUAGAUUUUGUUGAAUUUUUUCUUCAAAUUUAAUCUUAUUAAUUAGGAUUUUUCUAAUCAAGAAGUGAGUACUUUUUUCUUUUGGGUGAAAAAGUGCGUACCUUCAUACGGUUAAACAUAAACUUUUUUGAAAAGGAAGGUUAAACAUAAACUUGUAACUCUUAAAUUAAGAAUAGCGAAAUAGAAUACCAAUCAUAAUUAAAUAUAAGUUAUGCUCUUGAUGUAGUAUAAUAUAGGAGAAUGAGAAUUGAGCUACAUUAACUAAUUUCAUCAAUAUAAUUUACGCCCUUUUGUUUCAUUCGAAUGCAUAUAGGCAUAAUCAUAGCAAAAAAAUUACACAAUCCUCGUUAAUAUAAUAGAUAUAAUAGAGUGACUCAUUGCAAUAAAAUAUCUAUAAUAAAGUGGCUCAUUGCAAUAAAAGAUUUAUCUAGAUUCUUAUCUAAGAAUGAUUAAGUUAGCGACUCAUCCGUUUUGGAUAUCUGAAAAUCUGUUGGAAGAAAGUAGCAUUAGCAAUUAGAUUCAAAUGAAAAGGUGUAUCAACCUCAUAAUCCAUCAAGCCAUUAAAAUUCCAUUCUUUUUAAAAUCUAGAAAAUGCUUUUUUAUGUCUUUUUUAAGGGAGGAAGAGGUAGAUGAAAAUAAUGAAAAACAAAUUGUGUAUAUAUAGGAAAAAAAACCAUUUCAUGAUAAAUUUUGAUUGGCUAAUGAAAAAUAAAUGAGUUAUGAUCC
rnacentral:lncRNA from 1 species